ACCUUCUGGCAAUAGGCAAAGAGACACCUUGUUGGUGUUGUUCUUAUAUCAGUCAGGGCUAGAGCAGAUGGCAAUCCUUUGUUUAUCCUGGCUUGAUGCCUGGCUUGGUAGCCAAAGUUGCCUUAUGCCUAGGACUCAUAA